rnacentral:tRNA from 1 species
UCCCAGGUGGCCCAGUGGUAAAGAAUCUGCCUCCAAUGCAGGAAACCUGGGUUUGAUCCCUGGAUUGGGAA